GCGGAACCGGAACAAUUUUUGGCCUGAAUAGUAUCCAGUGGUUGCAUUUGCCCAAGUUCUCAAGAUCAUACAAAAAGAAUAGGUGAUAAGUAGUGCCUUUGGCCAUAAAUACAGGCAUGUCAACGAAAUACUGAGUGAGACUGACCUAGCGGACGGUGAUAUCCAUGUUUCGUACCACUAUAAUAGAGAAACUGACCACUGGCGGGGCAACUUAAAGAUGCAUAAUGUAAGCUAAUAUGGUAUAUUUGAAACGUGCACGUGGAUCUCCAUAUUACAGGUCCACAUAUGAAAGUAUUACUCAUAUUUGAGUGGAGUUGACUGACCCCACGAAAAAAAUGGAGUUGCACCUCAACAGAGAGAAGAUGACAUCCCAAAAAAUAACGAAAGAUUUUUUUUUUUUUUACAAGGCUAGAGAUGGCGAGUAGAGAAGGAAGGAAGGGUGUGUGCCUUGCAGCUAACCAUCUACACGCCCGCCAUUUAUUUUCAGUAUAUCAUUGGGUAUUUGAGUCAUAAAACUGGGAUUCACAUUGUCGGUGAAUAACUGCGAAAACG